CUCAGUCAUGUCCGAGUCUUUGUGACCCCACAGGCUGCAGCACGCCAGGCUCCUCUGUCCAUCACCAACUCCCGGCAUUUAAUCAAACUCAGGUCCAUUGAGUCGGUGAUGCCAUCCAACCUUCUCAUCCUCUUUCGUCCCCUUCUUCUCCCGCCUUUAAUCUUUCCCAGCAUCAGGAUCUUUUCUAAUGAGUCAGCUCUUAAAGGCCAAAGUAUUGAAACUUCACCUUCAACAUCAGUCCUUCCAAUGAACACUCAGGACUGAUCUCCUUUAGGAUGGACUGGUUGUCCUUGCAGUCCAAGGGACUCUCAAGAGUCUUCUCCAGCACCUCAGUUCAAAAGCAUUAAUUCUUCGGUGCUCAGCUUUCUUUAUGGUCCAACUCUCACAUCCAUACAUGACCACUGGAAAAACCAUAGCUUUGACUAGACAAAUCUUUGUUGGCAAAGUAAUGUCUCUGCUUUUUAAUAUGCUGUCUAGGUUGGUCAUAGCUUUUCUUCCAAGGAGCAAGCGUCUUUUAAUUUCAUGGCUGCUGAGGGUGGGCAUCCUCAAAGCUCCAGGAUGCUCCUGGGUGGAGCUUCAAGGAAGUUGGAAGUUCCUCCUGUUUAUUAUUCAUUUACAUUUAAUCCCCCACCCCCCACUGCUGCUCUCAGUACUUAAGCCCCUUUACAAACAAGAUCAAGAUAAAAAGGAAAGAAGAGAAACCAAGUAAAGCCAAAAAGAGUGAUAGGAAAAAAAAAAAAAAAACAGGAAGCCAUAGGUAGGGCUGGUGCACAAAUUAUUGCCCUGAGAUGCCCUUUUUUGGUGUGGUGAUCCCCAGUCUACUUGGCACCAGGGACCAGUUUCCUUGAAGACAACUUUUCCACCGACCUGGGAUGGAGGGGAUGGUUUCGGGAUGAGUCAAGUGCGUUACAUUUUUUGUGCACUUUAUUUCUAUCACAUUAGCUCCACCUCAGAACAUGAGGCAUCAGAUCCUGGGGGCUGAGGACCCCUGUUUUAGUGCAUGGCUGUAAGUUUGGCUCCCAGCUUCCUGGCAGCCGAGGCAAGGAUGGAGAUGAGAUGCCCGUGUUGCAGAAACAAACCGUCACUCCAGAGCAGCCUGACUUCUCACUACAGAGAGGAGACAGCGUCCCCAGGGGAGCCUCAGAAAGGAUGCUGCGGAUGUCCUGGCACCCCCAUAGCGUGUCCCACGUGGCUCCCCAGAAAACAGCUCUCAGUGGAAACGAGGGGCAAGCAGCCUAGGCAUGCUUCAAGAAACGCUAUUUGUUAGCAGGUGGGAUUCGGACUGGCCCAGGAGGGCAGGGGAGCUCUGCAGUGGUGCCCAGGCCUGGCAGAACAUCCUGGAAGCUCAUUCAGGAGCGAGAGCGUGUGAUACUGAAAUUGAUGAGAACCAGCCUCACGGAUUCAUGAGCAUGUCUUCCCUGCGCACGUCCUUGCCUCCAUGACACAUUAAACCGCAGGGAAAGAGCUCCAGGAACCUUUAUUCAGUGCACGGGCUGGGUCAGCCUAUCUAACUAGUGGCCCACAACCCAGCAGGGCGAGAAGGUUUCAGAAGAGGUGGGAGGCCCAAGAGGACUGAAGGCCAUCAGAACCAUGUCAGCGAGGGCCCCAACACUCUGCUUCGGGGCCCUCUAACAAAACAUAGCCCAGGGGACCAAGAGCUGGACAGCCGGACAGGCCUGAGUCCCCAGGCUCUGGGCAGCCUCUGCCCUUUGACCUCAGCUUUGUCUACGGCUCUGGAUGAGGUCAUGACUCAUGUCACUUUGGGGACCUGAAGGCCAUCCCGGCCACACCUCGGCCUGCAUGGUUCUCACGUCCAUCCCUGACUCAGUCAUGAAGGCAGCAGAGGUGGGGGCUACCGGCAGUCCAGCUCUGAUCACCUCCUGUUGGGCUCAGCAUUUCCCAGCCAGAUGACUGUCCCAGAUGGCAGGAAGGUACGCCUCAGAGACUGAGCUGAAAGAAGCUGCCCAGUGACUGACCCUUCACAGGCUUGCACACUCCGCUUGCACACCCCUGGUGAUGGGGAGCUCACUACCCAUCAUGGCACUCUUUUCUGUUGUUAGAAUGUUCUUUCUCUGAUUGAGCUAAGUGCUGCUCCUGCAACUCCCACCGGUGGGCUCUGCUGGACCCCAGGAGGCUGGGGAGAAAAUGCUGGUUCCUCACCUCCAGAAGAAGACUGCAAACACCAGAGGCUGGACCUCACGUUCUUUCUUCUCUUCUUAGUUCCUGUGUGACCCUGGGCCUGAGUUUUCUCUCUUUCUGGAGAAUGAGAAGGAAACCCUCCUGGGGUUCCUAAGGACCAGCAGAGGCAGGAGGCAGAAGGCAGAGCUGUAAGAUGGUCCCCAACAUUCCUGCCCCCGGCGCACACAUCCUUCACACUCUCCUUUAACAUGGGUGGGCCUGGCCUAAUCAGGUGAGCUCUUAAAGGCCCUGGGCCCUUCCUGAAGUCAGACACACAAGUGUAGAGAGACUGGAAGUGUGAGGGACCCAUGGAGGGGGUCACAAGGCAAGGGUCUGGGGUGACCUCUAGGAGCCAAGUGGUCCCCGGCCAACAGCCUGCAAGAUAGUGAGGAUCUCAGUCCUACCCACAAGGAGAGGAAUUCUACCAGCAACCGAAGGGCCUGAAGAUGUUCCCCCUGCUGAGCCUGCAGCCGGGGGCGUGGGCCGCUGAGUGAGGACCAGCUGAAGCGUGCUGGGGUCUUGACCCACAGAGACCAGGAGACUCAUUUCCUCCAUGUGGGAGCCAUGAAAAGAGUGACCAGUCGCCAUCUGAUGGUCUUGAGGGAAGAGCCUGCCUUGGAAUGGAGCCGCUCGAGGAGAGGAAGUGAGCAGAGGAGAGAAAGCAAGCUGGUCUUGAGCCUGGAUCGUGCCAUGCCUGAAGCUGUUGUUUCUCAGCUGUCAGAUGAUUGAGCCAGUAGAUCCUCUGUAAUGCUGAAGUCAGCUUGACUGAGUUUCCUGUGUUACCUGCAGCUCAGAUUGCUGUUCAGGGGCUCUGCCCAGCCAACCCUGACAAUAAACAAGAACUCAGCCACUUGGUGGGGUUAUGCCACGGAACGGACUGCCUGCCAUGUGCUGGAAGCUGUCUAUUUUACAUCCCCACGAUGAGGUUCCCUUUGCGUGGGCGAGGAUCUGAGACCGAUAGAUCACCGAGCCUUACCCAAGGCUAGGAUUUGAACUUGGGUCUGUCUGACUCCACAGCCUGUGUGGGUUCUCUGCCCCUGGGCAGUCCCUCCCGGGGCACCGCCUGUGAGCUGGAGCCCAGAGCCUGGCCACAGUGGACAUCUGGGGAGGCUCUCCCGUGUGGACCCGCAUCCUGCCAGCCAGCCUGGCAAGUCCACGGGCACUCCUUGGACCGCGCAUGUCAGGGAGUGUUGGCUGGCUGGGGGCAUCCCUGCAGGGGGUGGGAGGGAGCAUAGUGUUGGCGUGAGCCGGCUCCAGGGUGCAGGCGGCUCCUAGCUCAAGUUGUAGGUUCUGCCGCAUCCUUAGCUCACCCCUCCCUCCCCAAACCCGAAUGUCAGUCCCCAUCCCACCCAGUGACUGAGUGGACGCGUAUCCUGCGGCCCCUUCCCAGGACCCCUCACCGCAGGGACUUCCUCUUCCACCCUUCCUUGGGGCCCCCACGCCACAUCCUGGAUCUCAUAUCACCAGAAACUGCUCACCUCUGAAAUCUCAGUUUCUAACCAUCCCCCUUGGUUUUAUUUAUUUUUUUUAGCUGUGGGAUCUUAGUUCCCUGAUCAGAGGUUGAAUCCAUGCCCCCCUGCAGGGGAAGCUUAGAGACUUAACCACUGGACUGACAGGGAAUUUCCCCUAACCUUGGUUUGAAAAAAUAUAUAACAACUUUGUUGGGAUGUGAUUCAUAUGCCAUACAGUUCACCCUUUUGUGGAGUGAAGUUCAGUGGUUUUUUAGCAUUUUCACUAUGUACAGCCAUCACUAGACAGCUUAUUAAAAAGCAGAGACAUCACUUUGC
ensembl:lncRNA